rnacentral:rRNA from 1 species
CGGACGGGUGAGUAACACGUGGAUAACCUACCUAUAAGACUGGGAUAACUUCGGGAAACCGGAGCUAAUACCGGAUAAUAUUUUGAACCGCAUGGUUCAAAAGUGAAAGACGGUCUUGCUGUCACUUAUAGAUGGAUCCGCGCUGCAUUAGCUAGUUGGUAAGGUAACGGCUUACCAAGGCAACGAUGCAUAGCCGACCUGAGAGGGUGAUCGGCCACACUGGAACUGAUACACGGUCCAG